rnacentral:rRNA from 1 species
GUGUGGACGCCAGUCUGCAUGGAGCCGACCUUGAAAUACCACCCUUUAAUGUUUGAUGUUCUAACGUUGACCCGUAAUCCGGGUUGCGGACAGUGUCUGGUGGGUAGUUUGACUGGGGCGGUCUCCUCCUAAAGAGUAACGGAGGAGCACGAAGGUUGGCUAAUCCUGGUCGGACAUCAGGAGGUUAGUGCAAUGGCAUAAGCCAGCUUGACUGCGAGCGUGACGGCGCGAGCAGGUGCGAAAGCAGGUCAUAGUGAUCCGGUGGUUCUGAAUGGAAGGGCCAUCGCUCAACGGAUAAAAGGUACUCCGGGGAUAACAGGCUGAUACCGCCCAAGAGUUCAUAUCGACGGCGGUGUUUGGCACCUCGAUGUCGGCUCAUCACAUCCUGGGGCUGAAGUAGGUCCCAAGGGUAUGGCUGUUCGCCAUUUAAAGUGGUACGCGAGCUGGGUUUAGAACGUCGUGAGACAGUUCGGUCCCUAUCUGCCGUGGGCGCUGGAGAACUGAGGGGGGCUGCUCCUAGUACGAGAGGACCGGAGUGGACGCAUCACUGGUGUUCGGGUUGUCAUGCCAAUGGCACUGCCCGGUAGCUAAAUGCGGAAGAGAUAAGUGCUGAAAGCAUCUAAGCACGAAACUUGCCCCGAGAUGAGUUCUCCCUGACUCCUUGAGAGUCCUGAAGGAACGUUGAAGACGACGACGUUGAUAGGCCGGGUGUGUAAGCGCAGCGAUGCGUUGAGCUAACCGGUACUAAUGAACCGUGAGGCUUAACCUU